rnacentral:rRNA from 1 species
GGGGAGGUACCUGCAGUCGAGCGGAACGAGUUAUCUGAACCUUCGGGGAACGAUAACGGCGUCGAGCGGCGGACGGGUGAGUAAUGCCUAGGAAAUUGCCCUGAUGUGGGGGAUAACCAUUGGAAACGAUGGCUAAUACCGCAUAAUACCUUCGGGUCAAAGAGGGGGACCUUCGGGCCUCUCGCGUCAGGAUAUGCCUAGGUGGGAUUAGCUAGUUGGUGAGGUAAUGGCUCACCAAGGCGACGAUCCCUAGCUGGUCUGAGAGGAUGAUCAGCCACACUGGAACUGAGACACGGUCCAGACUCCUACGGGAGGCAGCAGUGGGGAAUAUUGCACAAUGGGCGCAAGCCUGAUGCAGCCAUGCCGCGUGUGUGAAGAAGGCCUUCGGGUUGUAAAGCACUUUCAGUCGUGAGGAAGGUAGUGUAGUUAAUAGCUGCAUUAUUUGACGUUAGCGACAGAAGAAGCACCGGCUAACUCCGUGCCAGCAGCCGCGGUAAUACGGAGGGUGCGAGCGUUAAUCGGAAUUACUGGGCGUAAAGCGCAUGCAGGUGGUUUGUUAAGUCAGAUGUGAAAGCCCGGGGCUCAACCUCGGAAUAGCAUUUGAAACUGGCAGACUAGAGUACUGUAGAGGGGGGUAGAAUUUCAGGUGUAGCGGUGAAAUGCGUAGAGAUCUGAAGGAAUACCGGUGGCGAAGGCGGCCCCCUGGACAGAUACUGACACUCAGAUGCGAAAGCGUGGGGAGCAAACAGGAUUAGAUACCCUGGUAGUCCACGCCGUAAACGAUGUCUACUUGGAGGUUGUGGCCUUGAGCCGUGGCUUUCGGAGCUAACGCGUUAAGUAGACCGCCUGGGGAGUACGGUCGCAAGAUUAAAACUCAAAUGAAUUGACGGGGGCCCGC